GGCCGAGUAGAUGGCAAGCUGUAGACUUGUUUACGGGGCAAGCCCCCCCCCAA
rnacentral:tRNA from 1 species